AGAUGCUUCUGCCACAGAGAGAUGCUUCUGCCACAGUGAGAUGCUCCUACUGCACAGAGAUGCUCCUACCACUGAGAGACAAUCCUACCACUCAGAGAUGCUUCCACCGCACAGAGAUGCUGCUACCACUUAGAGAUGCUUCCACCGCACAGAGAUGCUCCUACCGCACAAAGAUGCUCCUACCACAAAGAGAUGCUUCCACCGCACAGAGAUGCUCCUACCACUCAGAGAUGCUCCUACCACUCAGAGAUGCUUCUGCCACAGAGAGAUGCUUCUGCCACAGUGAGAUGCUCCUACCACUGAGAGAUGCUCCUACCACUGAGAGAUGCUCCUACUGCUCAGAGGUGCUCCUUCCACAGAGAUGCUUCUACCAUUCAGAUAUGCUCCUGAGGCAGGAGAUAGAUGGGCCCUAG
rnacentral:lncRNA from 1 species